UGGAUAGUCACAGUUACUUGGAUAACUGCGGUAAUUCUGGAGCUAAUACAUGGCACUACAAGCCCCAACUCACGAAGGGGCGCUUUUAUUAGAUCAAAACCAAACGGCUUCGGCUGUACUCUUGGUGAUUCUGAAUAACUUUGGGCUGAUCGCAUAGCCUUGCGCUGGCGACAUAUCCUUCCAAGGUGUGCCCUAUCAACUGUCGACUGUGGCAUAGACGCCCACAGUGGUUUUGACGGGUAACGGGGAAUCAGGGUUCGAUUCCGGAGAGGGAGCCUUAAAAACGGCUACCACAUCUAAGGAAGGCAGCAGGCACGCAAAUUACCCAAUGACCGAAGGUCGAGGUAGUGACGAAAAAUAACGAUACCGGACUCAUCCGAGGCCCGCUAAUUGGAAUGAGUACACUUUAAAACCGUCCCCGAGGAUCUAUUGGAGGGCAAGUCUGGU
rnacentral:rRNA from 1 species